GCACCUAGUUUACACCUAGAAGAUUUCACACAAAAUGACCACUUUGAAACUAAACAUAGCUCAAAAUAUACUAUAUAUACAUAUAUAUAUAUUACCACCCCAAUAACAUUAAAAUAAAACAUUCAUAACAAUUAAAAGUAUAGGUGAUAGAAAUUUUACAUGACGCUAUAGAGAAA
rnacentral:rRNA from 1 species